CACAUUUCCUGUGUCUCGGCUAGAGCCUUGGGCAGUGUGAGCUGGCAGGGCAGAUUGCUGAAGGAGGCUAGAGAUAGAACACCACCCAGCUCUGCAUCCUGAGACAAAGAAGACUUUCCCUGGGCUCAUAUGACAGAGAUGAAAUUUAGAAGAAAACAUGUUUUCAUAGCAUAAAUAAUCCAGUGGCGAACCAAUCCAAUCCAAUUCCAAGACUGCUCAUUGAGACACUUACCAUAGGCCUCCCCUCUGCAGCCAGUGCUCCAGAUUGGGAAUGGCUGAAGCUUGAGUUCACAACACCCCGCAGGGGAAGGGGAUGCUGGUUUCCUUUAUGUAAACCCAACAAAGAAACACCUGGCUUUGGGGAGCA